AAAUAUGAGAGUAAUCUGGCUGCAACAUCUGUCACCUCAUUGAUGGCCAGGAUUGAUUCAGCUAAUCUGGAUGACUUGGCAGGUGUCUUUUUCCUGCCUCACUACUCCAUGUGUGUCCUUUCUCAAGCUACUUGCUAGGUUGAAGAUGACCUUCCCAAAUAGAGAACCAUUCUUCACUGAAGGGUACACAAGCAGCUGUGUUCCCCUGCUAGAACCUCUAAAUAUGCUGUCAAGGAUAUAGGUCCAAGUGGUAAGACUUCAGAAGUAAAAGGCAGAAAGAAAGAAUCAAAGGAUCCUAUGAAGAGCAAUUCAGUGGAGUAUCAUUACUUCCUUU
rnacentral:snRNA from 1 species